GCCCGGAUGGCGAAAUCGGUAGACGCAGCGGACUUAAAAUCCGCCACCCGCAAGGGUAUGCCGGUUCGAGUCCGGCUCCGGGCA
rnacentral:tRNA from 1 species